GGACUUUUCAUGCGCCGAAUAUGUAAAUGAGGGGAAACUGUAUGAAUUACGUCAUUCAUGUUUGGCACGAGAUAAAAGUGACGUCUGGACAAAGCCGACGUUCCGUGUAAAGCCAUGGGGCUUUCGCUCGCAAUACCAAAUCUGAGAAAUAUGCCGAAAACAAGCACGUCCAUCAACACCUAUGAUGGAAUGUCUGCCUCUUGGACAACAAAACAGAGACGUGUAGAGUAUCAAAGUGACACCGAAAUUCCUUGUUGUUACAUACAUUAUACAUUGGUAUUGUGUACUGAUAUAAAUAGAAAUAAAAUCAACAGACAAUUGAUUUUAUUUUGGUGGCAAAUUCCCGGAAAGAGCAUACUAAAAUGAGUAGAAUCGCAAAGUUUGGUUGCGAACUGUUGUAAAAUGCGGAAAAUAUAGCCUUGCAAAUGUAUUUGUAUUGCGUGCGGAAAUUUGACAUUGGGGCCA